AUUGCACGCUGGCGGCAGGCCUAACACAUGCAAGUCGCACGAGUGGCGGACGGGUGAGUAAUGUCUGGGAAACUGCCUGAUGGAGGGGGAUAACUACUGGAAAAGGUAGCUAAUACCGCAUACCAUCAGAUGUGCCCAGAUGGGAUUAGCUUGUUGGUGGGGUAACGGCUCACCAGGGCGACGAUCCCUAGCUGGUCUGAGAGGAUGACCAGCCACACUGGAACGGAGACACGGUCCAGACGCCUACGUGAGGAAGCAGUGGUGAAUAUUGCACAAGGGGCGCAAGCCUGAUGGAGCCAUGCCGCGUGUAUGAAGAAGUCCUUCGGGUUGUAAAGUACUUUCAGUGGUGAGGCGUUACCCGCAGAAGAAGCACCGGCUAACUCCGUGCCAGCAGCCGCGGUAAUUC
rnacentral:rRNA from 1 species